CGUUAGCAAUUGGUGUUUUUUUUGUAGUGCAAGGGCUAAACAAAUAACUUCGUACAAUUUCCUCGUCACCCAUACACUAGUAUAAACAAGACAUCGUAUUAUUCAACAUCAAAUACAAGUGAGAAUAAUACAGUAAUAUACGAGCUCUCGAAGUUUUGUCAAUAAGCACAUGUAAAAUCAGCAAAUUUACGAGAAAUUAGCGGUCCAAGACCAAGCAAAACUUGUAAAUCUUCAGUAUAUCCUCGUGUUGUAUGACUGCCCAAGAGUUGUUGGCGAAGUUUAUAUGAGAUGGGAGUAAUGCAUAGAAUUCCCUCGAACGAUUAACUCAAGCCUGACCAACAAGAACAUCCUUAUAUGGAGUUGGGGCAACAAUAGUUGAUGUUGUUCCCUCGUCGGGUGAGUUUCUCCUUCUCCUUUGCUCUUCUAUAUUAGUGGCAUUUGCUCCUCUCUUUCUUGCAUUAAUCGUUCCUGUGCUCCACCUCGUAGCUUCUCUAGCCUCAAUUCACUCAUUUGUUGCAUCUUGAACACUUUUACCACGUUCAUUAGUCCCCCAAUGAGAAGCAAUAGGCUCCCAAAUAUUCCCAACCACGCCCAGUCUCCACUCUGAAUCAUUUCAGAAUUAUACAAUUACUUGAUCAAACUAUGCAAAAGGUGUUGGAAUAAAUCCAAAUAUAACACUAUAGCCUUCAUAUCGAAUUACUUGGAAUUAUAACA
rnacentral:lncRNA from 1 species